GAAUCUUCCAAAGGUAAUCCUUCUGAGUUGGUUGUACUAAGUCCGAACCACCACAAGGUCUCCUUCCAUAAUCUAGUAAGCAUCUUUUGUCAUCCCAUAAAGUAGAUAUCGUUAAUAUGAUAUUAAAUCAAACCACAAGUACAUCAAAGUGGCCCCUCUACAAUAACCAACUCAUGCACACACACUUUCAAUAACACUUGCAGACAAUUCUACAUGUUUUCCAAGUGUAACUUUCUUUACUCAAAACUCACCAUCACAAUAAUCAAUAUGCUUUCUCGACCCCAACUGACUCAUGGCUCUCUAGAGAACCUCUAAAUUAUUUUCUAAAAUCUGAAUGUCAAAACCUACCAUCGAUAUCACCACUAGUCUACAAUAAAACCAUUAAAAGAUCACCUAAAAAUAUGCCAAAAUCCACCAAACUCAAUACAUCGUCUAAUCCCAUUAUGCACUCUAAGUGAGUCACAAUAUAAGAUCAAUACACCUGAUCCACCACUAAGAAAUCAUCUAUGGGGUAGCAAUAUCAACAGACCCAAAAUAACUCACCAAUUACAUUAAAACCCAAUGUAAAAAAAGUGAACACAUAACAAAAUACAGAACCAUAAUCCAAUACUACCAAGACAAAUAAAAAACACACUAAAACCAUACUGUGGCUACUAUACCAAAAUGUCUUACCUCAUUUCCAUCCUGGUAUCUUGAUUUUGAAUCUUGUCAUCUAUUGGAGCAAACAAUAAAACAUCUAUGUCUAAGCAGUUGACAAUCCCUCCUAUAGUGACUGAGACCUCCACACCAAAAGUAAAUCGAAGAAGUUAGAGCUUACUAAACCAAGCCUGAAGGAUCUAAAGGACAACCCUAACAUAACCCUCCAUCAUGCAUAUUACUAUGAUCAUAAAAUACUUAGGCCCUCUAGCCCGCAAGCCUCUCAUAUAUCCACACAAACUCCUCUAAGAACACUCAAGCAAGCGAAUCUCAUGAAAUAAAAAAUGAUCCAACUUGUCUAACCUCUAGAAAGGUCCUCCACAAUUGUCUAGAUAUCCUAAAAAAUUGAAAGAAAUUGAAGUUUACUUCACUAAAAUCCUCACAACCCAACCUAUACAACCUGUCUUUACAACUAAAAAAGCAUAUAUAAGCAUCAAACCUAGAAUCUCUAUCACAAUAAAGUGGAUUUGUCCUUAUGAACUCUACAUAUCUACUUUGUCCUUCUAUGGUCAUUAGGGGUAUGGUCACUAAUGUGGAGCAAUCCCCGACAAUACCUCAUCAAUACUAGGAGAACCAGUAGUAGUCAUAUGUGCAUCUAGAAUCAGAAGCCUUGAAGUAGCAUGCUGAACCAAAAUAGGAGUCAUCACAUGAAGAAAACCCAACUCUUGAAUCAAAAAAUUCUCAAUCAUAGGUAUAGUAUUCGAUGGUGUUUGCGCUGGCCGCAACCCCUCAACCUCACUAGACCUACCACCCCUAAACACUCUAGAACCUAAAGGGGAAACUCUAACCUAACCUCUAGCUGGUCUGGUUAUCUCAAUAUGACCUUUGCCUAGAACCCUUCUCCUUUUGUGCAUCAAAGGCACAGGCUCUUAAUCUCUAGACAUGGAAGACGUGUUCUAAUUUGAGGUGGAUUUAUGCACCUCAAUGUUGUUAUCAGGACUUAUUUAGCCUUAUUUUAAGGACUUCUUGUAUGAUUAAUGAGUUUUUAAUAAUAUAAAAGAG
rnacentral:lncRNA from 1 species